rnacentral:lncRNA from 1 species
UUUUCUUUCAACAAACUUUGUGAGAUCCUAGUCACAUAGUAUUGAUGAAAAGACAAAAGUAAAAAAAGAAAUAAUUAAGAAGGAUAAUAUUGUCUGCCAAUAUGAGUCUUUCAAUGUAAAAGCACAUUUGAGGAUUUAAACCUUGUUAAUUUCUUAGCAUUACCACUUUUUGAAUGAAAUUUCAUGAAAAUUUUAUAGAAACUCAAUGUUUCCUU